rnacentral:lncRNA from 1 species
ACCUAUUGAUAUUCACUCCAUCACAGGACUUGGAACAGUUUUGCUAGCAGAAAAUACGACUCUCUUCUAUGCUGUGGUAAAAUAGUACAACCACAAGGCCAGGAUCCAUAGAAUGUGACCAGCUGUUUCAGUGGUUUUCUGUUACUAUUUGUGAAGUCUUCAUUCUUGUCAUCUCUAGCAGAAGAGUGGUGCCAGUUGCCAGAGGUUUGAGGAAAAAGAAGUCAUGGGAGAAUUUACAUUUCAGAAAAUUCCAUUCAUUGACUUAAUUAUUUCUGGGAAUUCAGAAAAGACCACCAUGAUCCUUUAGCCGCGAAAACACUUGGGCCAGUUUUGGAAAUGCUAGAAUCCUGCAGGAGAAGCUUUUGAGAAAUUCAGUACUGUGCAGUGUUGUAACCCGAAUACUUUGCUGGAGAAAGGGUUACUGAGAGAUCAUAUUCACAAAUCAACGUGCAAUAGUGAAAAAAGAUGGCAACACUGAAGAACCUUACUGAAUAACCCAGUAUGGACCACGUAUUGUAAUAGGCACUUAAUUUCUCUCAAUCCUUUCGAUAUCUCCUUGAAAUAGCGAAGGUCAUAUGAUAGCUGCUUAAUAAAAUUUGCUGAUCGAAUGAAGGAGCUAAUGAAUUCAAUAAAAUCAGGGAAGGCUUCUUGGAGGAGGAGCACCUUGCUCCAGUGGGCUGAGAAGACAUUCCAUGAGACCAGAGCAAGGAGAGGAGUGGCCUGGCAGCUGAAGCCAGAGACAGACUUGAACCUGGAGAAUCUUCACAUCAAACCUAGGAGAAAGGUACUAUUAUCAUCUCUAAGUUACAAAAAUGGGAACUGAGCCACCAAAUGGCUAAGUGGUUUGCCUAAGAACACAGCGCUGGGCAGACAGAGGAACCAGGGGACUUAGGCCUUGCCAAGGAGGUGACAGUUGGACUGGCCUGGAGGGACUGGCCUGGAAAGAACAGCUACAGUAUGGCCACAGGGUUCCGGGAUGGCCAAGGAGGCCCAUCUCACCAGACCUGGCCCUGAGAAACUUCACCAGCAAGGCUUUCAAAUCGGGUGCGUGAUUGCUACGACGUGAGUUCCCUUCCAGUAGGGCCUGCAGCUGCUCUGUCCUCCUGGAUGGAGAAUCUGACUCCAACUCAGCUUCCCAAACCACACACAAUUCCAAGAUGAGACUGGUCUUCCUCUGGGGGACCAAGGAGAAAUGUGGUAAUUUAGACUCUCAAAGACUCUUCCUAAAAAGCUGGGCUGUUAAGGAAUCCACUCCAAGCGAUCACCAUCUGUGGCAGGCAGCUGGUGGAAUAGACAGAACUGUUUUGACAUCAGAUGAACUAGAAUUUGAAUACUGGUUUAGUCCUGUCUAGCUGUAGGGAUUUGAAGGGAAAUACAGUUUUUCUUUCGGAAAACCAGGACAAUAAUAUUGUACUAGAUUUGUGAGGUUAAAGAUAUAGAAGGUAUAGACAGCUAGGAGGUGUUGGGAGAUUGGGGCUUCUAUUCUUUGUUUUGCAUUAUUAUUCUUAGCAAAGCCACUUACAGGGUGUCUGAAGAAGCAUCCCUUUCUUUGGCUCCAGAGUGUGAGUAGAGUUUAUUAGGGUCCCCCUGGCUUUUGGGUCCACCCAGUUUCUUCUGCAGACAAUGUUUGGACUGAACUUCACUCUCUGUACAAUGAGGAAACCUGUUUUAAAGGCCUCACUUGUCAAAAAAACAGCCAUAAAACAGACUUAAUGAGACUUCUGGAUACAGCCAGGCCCAUGUGAUUGGCUGCUCCAGGGCAGGCAAGGCUGGAAUUCAGGGCUCUGAACGUGCUGGCCGGCUGCGCUCCAGCCCCGGUCUGUGCUGGUGGUGUUCCGUGUGCUCUGUCCGCCUCUCCUUUAACUUCCCUGAUAAAAUGCUUACUUGGAUAUUGUUCUGAGAUGAUUGAUUGUUAAAUGCCCUGCAAAUACAAAACUAGGCUGCUAAGUCACACUCGAGAGAAGUCCAGGAAAUCCUCUAGUUGAAUGUUACAGCCGGCUUCUCCUGAAUAGAGGCACAGCAGCAGAUUUCACCUAGCCAACCCGUUUGCUUUUUAAAUGGGGAGACCGAGGCCCUGAAAGGGGAAAGCACUUACAUAAUAUGUAUGUUUUAUUACAACUAAAAAAAAAAAAGACAGAGAGAAAGACGAAUAGACAAGGCCCUCGUAGACCAGGAGGAUGGCAGACUCACUGGAUUCAUGCUGGGUGGGGGGCCUCUCUAAGCUCUUUCCCCCACUCUACCUUUCUGCUCCUUCUCCUUUAUUCCCCAUAGAUAGAGAGCAGUUUUUCCUCCUAGUACCAAAUGUGGAUGGUGGCAUAUUCUUUCCCUUUUACAGAAAUAUUAAAUCCCCCCAGGUCACACAGCUGUGUUGUCUGGGUGGUGGCUGAACCAGGAUUCCAUCUCAGGUGUGUCUGAUGGCCAUCACGAUACCACUGUAAAGCUGAGCUCAUUGACUAACGCUUAGGAAGUGGAGGGCCUUACAUUCUAGAUUCCAACCUUCGCCUACAACAAAGGAAACUGCCGGUAUUUUCCCAUUGCUAGUGACCUCUGCUUUCUUGUGACCAACAAGUAAGCAAGUCAAGUCCAUUUGUUAAGCUCUGUGACUCUUUUCAUUGUUAGGAAAAUUUGGACUUCAAAGUGAGGGAGUUUUGGGGGAUGCUUGGCCUCUUUGGGACCGAGAGGGUGAGGACAGCUGUUUUCUUGUUCAAUUGGCAGCCCUGGAUUAAAUUUCUAAUUUUCUUCCUCACCUAUUUCCUCCCUGUUUCCUAUAAGCUUAGCCCUUUUCCUGGCACAUAGUAGGUGUUCAAUAAAUAU